AUUGAACGCUGGCGGAAUGCUUUACACAUGCAAGUCGAACGGCAGCACGGGGCAACCUGGUGGCGAGUGGCGAACGGGUGAGUAAUACAUCGGAACGUGCCCAAUCGUGGGGGAUAACGUAGCGAAAGUUACGCUAAUACCGCAUACGAUCUACGGAUGAAAGCGGGGGAUCGCAAGACCUCGCGCGAAUGGAGCGGCCGAUGUCAGAUUAGGUAGUUGGUGGGGUAAAGGCUCACCAAGCCAACGAUCUGUAGCUGGUCUGAGAGGACGACCAGCCACACUGGAACUGAGACACGGUCCAGACUCCUACGGGAGGCAGCAGUGGGGAAUUUUGGACAAUGGCGCAAGCCUGAUCCAGCCAUUCCGCGUGCGAGGA
rnacentral:rRNA from 1 species